rnacentral:rRNA from 1 species
GACGAACGCUGGCGGCGUGCCUAAUACAUGCAAGUAGAACGCACAGUUUAUACCGUCGCUUGCUACACCAUAGACUGUGAGUUGCGAACGGGUGAGUCACGCGUAGCUAACCUGCCUGGUAGCGGGGGAUAACUAUUGGAAACGAUAGCUAAUACCGCAUCAUAUUAAUUAUUCCAUGAUAAUUCAUUGAAAGGUGCAAUUGCACCACUACCAGCUGGACCGACGGUGUAUUAGCUAGUAGGUGAGGUAACGGCACACCAAGGCGACGAUACGUAGCCGGACGGAGAGGGGGAUCAGGCACACGGGAACUGAGACACGGUCCAGACACCUACGGGAGGCAGAAGUGGGGAAUAUUGGACAAUGGGCGCAAGCCGGAUCCAGCCAUACCGCGUGGGUGAAGAAGGGCUGCGGGUUGUAGAGCAGUUUUGUUGGGAAAGAAAAGAAGCAGGUUAAUACACCGAUGUUCUGACGGUACCCAAAGAAGAAGGACCGGCUAACUUCGUG